CCUACGGGAGGCAGCAGUGGGGGAUAUUGCACAAUGGGGGGAACCCUGAUGCAGCGACGCCGCGUGGGUGAAGAAGCGCCUCGGCGCGUAAAGCCCUGUCAGCAGGGAAGAAAAUGACGGUACCUGAAGAAGAAGCCCCGGCUAACUACGUGCCAGCCGCCGCGGUAAUACGUAGGGGGCAAGCGUUAUCCGGAUUUACUGGGUGUAAAGGGGGCGCAGACGGCGAUGCAAGCCAGGAGUGAAAGCACGGGGCCCAACCCCGGGACUGCUCUUGGAACUGCGUGGCUGGAGUGCAGGAGGGGCAGGCGGAAUUCCUGGUGUAGCGGUGAAAUGCGUAGAUAUCAGGAGGAACACCGGUGGCGAAGGCGGCCUGCCGGACUGCAACUGACGUUGAGGCCCGAAAGCGUGGGGAGCAAACAGGAUUAGAUACCCCUGUAGUC
rnacentral:rRNA from 1 species